rnacentral:lncRNA from 1 species
AUGGUUUACCGAUUCCUCUUACAUUCCUUGAUAGGAUUGCCAUGAGUAAAUUCCAUACUCCAUAAUUCGUCUUGAAAUAUAGCAGCUAGCAACACUUUCAUUUUCAUUGAUUGCUACGGCAGUGAGUACAUUGAUACAUGCAACCAUUUCUUUUUCUUCCCACCCAAAAAGAAUAUACAAAAUGUGGCUCUUAAUAAGUCUCGACAAUUCUGCACAGCUUGCUUAACUUCUUUGGCC